UACGUAGGGGGCAAGCGUUGUCCGGACUUACUGGGCGUAAAGCGCGUGCAGGCGGAUUGGUAUGUGCCGUGUGAAAGCUCUCAGCUUGCCUGGGAGAGGUCGCGGUAGACAGCCGAUCUGGAGGCUCGGAGAGGUCAGUGGAAUUCCCGGUGUAGUGGUGGAAAUGCGUAGAUAUCGGAAGGAACACCAGUGGCGAAAGCGGCUUCCUGGUCCG
rnacentral:rRNA from 1 species